rnacentral:rRNA from 1 species
CACGCAGGCGGCCAUCUAAGUCAGAUGUGAAAGCCCACGGCUCAACCGUGGAACUUCAUUUGAUACUGGUUGGCUAGAGUACGGUUGGGGUGAGUGGAACUCCUGGUGGAGCGGUGAAAUGCGUAGAUAUCAGGAGGAACACCAGUGGCGAAAGCGGCUCACUGGACCGUAACUGACGCUGAGGUGCGAAAGCUAGGGUAGCGAACAGGAUUAGAUACCCUGGUAGUCC